rnacentral:misc_RNA from 1 species
GAAAUGCGAUAAGUAAUGUGAAUUGCAGAAUUCAGUGAAUCAUCGAAUCUUUGAACGCACAUUGCGCCCGCCAGUAUUCUGGCGGGCAUGCCUGUUCGAGCGUCAUUUCAACCAUCAAGCCCCCGGCUUGUGUUGGGGACCUGCGGAUGCCCGCAGGCCCUGAAAAACAGUGGCGGGCUCGCUGUCACACCGAGCGUAGUAGCAUACAUUCUCGCUCAGGGCGUGCUGCGGGUUCCGGCCGUUAAACGACCUUCAUAACCCAAGGUUGACCUCGGAUCAGGUAGGAAGACCCGCUGAACUUAAGC